rnacentral:piRNA from 1 species
UGCCCAGCAGGGUGCAAACGUCAGGCAGU